rnacentral:rRNA from 1 species
GUGAACAGCCAUACCCCUAAACAUUCCCAUCGAGUCUGCUAUCAGACAGGGUAGGUCCUGGAUAGUACUUAGAUGGGAGACUAUCAACUAGACAGGUGUUAUUAAUA